UCUAUGGCCAUACCACCCUGAACAUAGCUGAUCACUUCUGAUCUUGGGAGCUAAGCAGGGUCAGGCCUGCUUAGUACUUGGAUGGGAGAAUCUAGAAGAUCACACUUGAUAAAUGAAGUUGGCCAAUGGAG
ensembl:rRNA 5S_rRNA 5S ribosomal RNA